UUACUGUUGGAUACUGCACAAUAUGGAAGAAACAAAAGAUACAAAAAAUACAGGAACCACUGGAAGAGGAGGUAGAGGAGAUAAAGGAACAACCUCAUGAUACAAAAAGACAGAAAGAACUUAAAGAAACUGUACAGCAACUAACAGACAUGCUUAGUGAAAAAGAAAAGGAAUUGAAUAAAAUGAAGGAAAAAAUACAAGAAAUGUCAUUAGUAAAGAAAACUAAGGAGGAUCAAAAUGAAGAGGAAUAUACACUAGUGGAAUUAAAGGAAGUAAAAGAAGCAACCAAUGAUUUGGAAGAGAAGCUACAAAGAAUGAAAAAAGAAUAUCACAUUAAAUGUAGUACAGAUUCUACUUCA